AUACGGAGGAUGCAAGCGUUAUCCGGAUUUAUUGGGCUUAAAGGGUGCGUAGGCGGAUGAUUAAGCGUGAGGUGAAAUGCCACUGCUCAACAGUGGAACUGCCUCGAGAACUGGUUGUCUUGAAUGCUCCUGCCGUGGGAGGAAUGUGUGGUGUAGCGGUGAAAUGCAUAGAGAUCACACAGAACACCGAUUGCGAAGGCAUCUCACGAAGGGGUGAUUGACGCUGAGGCACGAAAGCGUGGGGAUCAAACAGGAUUAGAUACCCUGGUAGUCCACGCAGUAAACGAUGAUAACUAACCGCUGGGUCGUAGUGAUUCAGUGGCCAAGCGAAAGCGAUAAGUUAUCCACCUGGGGAGUACGACCGCAAGGUUGAAACUCAAAUGAAUUGGCGGGG
rnacentral:rRNA from 1 species